UACGAAGGGGGCUAGCGUUGCUCGGAAUCACUGGGCGUAAAGGGUGCGUAGGCGGGUCUUUAAGUCAGGGGUGAAAUCCUGGAGCUCAACUCCAGAACUGCCUUUGAUACUGAAGAUCUUGAGUUCGGGAGAGGUGAGUGGAACUGCGAGUGUAGAGGUGAAAUUCGUAGAUAUUCGCAAGAACACCAGUGGCGAAGGCGGCUCACUGGCCCGAUACUGACGCUGAGGCACGAAAGCUCGGGGAGCGAACGGG
rnacentral:rRNA from 1 species